UGACUACGAAAUCGUAAAUGACGCUGCGCCGACCACACAGCCUGCAUCUUCUCCUCCAAGGGAAUAUGAAGCCAUUUACGUGCUGGCAGGGGAUCCAGAUGUCAUAAAACUGGGCUUGAAGAACCAAAGUGCAGCUUCCCCUUCAAUACCACAAGCUCAGUCCUCUGAGAACAACCCGAGUGAUCCGCUCUAUUCCACCAUCCAAGCGGUCGACACAUAGCUGUGUGGAAUGAAGACCUCACUGCCUUCAAGAUCCAUACAGAAU